rnacentral:lncRNA from 1 species
AUUAAAUAGUUCAUGUCUUAUUUUUAGUGUUCAUGUUAAUUCAAACUUUUUUUCCAAUAGUUAUAGGUAAACGCAGACUCCAUGAAUCGCACCCAAUCAGUUGUGAGUUUUACUUUUAAAGAGCGCUUUCGUCAUGUAAAACAGUAAGUCUUUAGUGAAUAUUAGGAUUCACCUAUUUCAUGUAAUUACAACAUUUAUUUUAUCAUGCAAGAAUACUAAAUUGACUUUUACAUAAAAAGGAGUAACGACGAUGAAGAAACGUAAAAGUCAUUAACAUGAACAGAAGGAUUAUUUUAUCUAAAGCGGUGCACUAAUAUCAAUUAAUUAAAAUACAGCUGGCAUGAAAUAAACACAUAUUUAUGUGUAAAGUAUUAUUAACCUUGUAAAAUAAAAUUGAUCGUAUUCAGAAGAUAUAUGAAUAUCUGAAGUUUGAACAAACAUUCCUUUUAUGUACUUCAACAAGUAAAGUUUAUGUUUAUUUUUUCUUGUAGGAACAACAGCUUAUAAUGUAAUACGAAGUAUACUAUACCUGGAUUUGUAGAACAGGCUCAGUGGAUCAUUUUCAAAUAAUCUGAAGCAAAAACUUGAAAGUGAAGGCAGGCUCAAGGAAUUGCAUUGAGGGUUUUUGUGAGUUUCACCAGUGAAGUGUUUUACGGAGCGGUGGUUUCAUGAUAUUAAGUGGAGUUUUAUGUCAUCAAAUUGUCGUAGGUAAAGGCAGAAUCUUAUCAUCACACUGAGUCGUUUGCGAGGUUUACCUUUGAAGUGCUUCAUGCUGCUAAAUACGUUUUGCACUGAGAGGUGUAUCAAUAGAUAGCAUCAAACUUAUUUGAAGUUGAUUUGUUGAAACCCCUCAAUAAUUACAUUAUUGUAUUUGCAACACAUUUUUAAGGUUGCUGUAUUUUACACUGUACUGCAAGUUAUAUUUCCUGUCCACUUGGCAUUUUAAUAAAGGUUUAUGUUACUUAUAUAAUAUGCAUGAAUCAAUUUACUUAUUUUUUUUCGACGCGAGUAUUCUACUUAUACAUUUCAAAAUUAAAAUCAAAGCCAAAACAAGUAGGAUUUUCAGAUAACCGGAAUGGUAAAAAUACAGAGUUCUUCUAGAUCGUAAAGAUACAUGUGUGCUUAACUGCACAGUGUGAGCAUAAUUAGUACGUUUCUAGACUUAUGUUUCAUUUUUGGAAAAUAUAUAUGAAGAAAGUCGCAAUUAAUUUUCAAGUAACAUGAAAAAAAAUAUCAGUUACAGUUACACAUGAAUCGUUUCUGAGUAAUCACAUGUAUAGACAUUUUCUCCAUUGUGUAUCUUAAAUAAACUUUUAUAAGUUGCACUCUCUCCCAAAAUAUUUUACUAUUACACAUUAUGUUGAGAUAUUUUUAGUUUUGCAAAGUACUAUUUGUUGUUUUUGUUGUUGUUGUUUGUUUGUUUGUUUUCUACAGAGAGCUGUUUUCAACUAUUUGGGAAGACUAUAAUGCAAUUGUAAGUGUUUUGUACACCAUACCAUAAAAUAUCCUCUGAAGAACAGACACUAACUGCCAAACUUAUGUCAUGCAUUUUUACUUUUAUUAACAAAAAUAUUUCAAAUAGGUGUUGACCGAUUAUCUAUCACAGAUGUUACCUACUUUAAACAGGCGUGAAGAACACAUAUCCGAAUAACAGACAACUGUCAAAAUUAUGUAAUGUAUUUUACUUUAAUUUCAAUAACAUUAUUUCAAAUAGGUGAACAUUUUUGUUGACCAAUUAUCUAUCACAGAUGCUACCUACUAUAAGCAGGCGAGAAAAACACUUAUCUGUUCAACUAUUAACUAGUAAACUGAAUAUAUUUGGGUAAUUUUGAAGGAUAAUUACAACUUUUAAAAUAAGUUUUUACAGUUAUGUCUAACAUAAUGAAAUUGUCCCUAGAGGCAUGAAAAUGAUAGUUUCGGUUACAUGUAAAUUAUUUCUGAAUUACAAAAUCUAUAAACUGUUUCUUCAUUUUGAGCCUAAAAUAUGCGUCUGAAAGGAACGCAGUUUUCCUAAUGGAUAGCUCGUCUUAAUGAUUUUUAAUCAGUUUUGAAGAAAGUAAAAACAAAAAUUCCCAUUCAUGAGAAAAUUAAAAAAACUGUAUAUAUAGGUACGAAUGUAGUAAUGCCUCCGCUUGGUAUGCCUCCGUGGACCUCUAGAAUGUAGUCCAUAUCAUUAUAUUGUGCCAAUUUGCCGUCUGUAAUAUGCCAUUUUUUGCCAAAUAUAAGCUUAAUUUUUACUUGAUCGUAAUGAGAAUUGUCUGCGGAUAAUUUUAAGCGACGUGAUGUGCUUCAAAAUUUGCUCCGAAUCAGUUUGGUAAAAUGAAACUCAAAGUAGGUAUUUCCUGAUGUCUUCUUUCGCAGUCAGCUGCACACAAGGGGCUAGCAAAAGUAAAAAAGGAGAAUUUCGGAUGAACUGUGAUAAUAUUAUCCUAUAAUAACCUUACAUGGACGUCUCUUUAUUUCACUUUUUAUAAGACCUAAAACCUUAACCUCUGGCACCUUCACGACUUUCUUUGCGCUAUGUCCAAAUCAAGAUCAUCCUCACAAAUCAGACAUUUUAAGAUGAGAUACAAAAUAGAGCUGACUUGCAAAGUAAAGAAUUAAUCCAUUUAUUUUGAAAGAGGGCUGUAAGGAAGAGAGUAUUUCUUUUCACAUUUUACUUAUAGUAGACGAUACAUAUAGAUCUGGUAUGUAAAGUUGUGAUUACAAAAUGUGUUAUUUCUGCCCUUGCACACUUUCAUUUAAGUUUUUGUCAUGGUGAAGUUUACAUAUCGCUUCUUCAAUUCCAGGUAUUAUUCGAGACCAAACGGUGGUCACAGACAGCACUAAAGUAUUAAUUAAAACGGCAGUAUUAUCAAUU